CUUGGUCAUUUAGAGGAAGUAAAAGUCGUAACAAGGUCUCCGUUGGUGAACCAGCGGAGGGAUCAUUACCGAGUUUACAACUCCCAAACCCCUGUGAACAUACCUUAAUGUUGCCUCGGCGGAUCAGCCCGCGCCCCGUAAAACGGGACGGCCCGCCAGAGGACCCAAACUCCAAUGUUUCUUAUUGUAACUUCUGAGUAAAACAAACAAAUAAAUUAAAACUUUCAACAACGGAUCUCUUGGUUCUGGCAUCGAUGAAGAACGCAGCAAAAUGCGAUAAGUAAUGUGAAUUGCAGAAUUCAGUGAAUCAUCGAAUCUUUGAACGCACAUUGCGCCCGCUGGUAUUCCGGCGGGCAUGCCUGUUCGAGCGUCAUUUCAACCCUCAAGCCCCCGGGUUUGGUGUUGGGGAUCGGCUCUGCCCUUCUGGGCGGUGCCGCCCCCGAAAUACAUUGGCGGUCUCGCUGCAGCCUCCAGUGCGUAGUAGCUAACACCUCGCAACUGGAACGCGGCGCGGCCAUGCCGUAAAACCCCAACUUCUGAAUGUUGACCUCGGAUCAGGUAGGAAUACCCGCUGAACUUAAGCAUAUCAAUAAGCGGAGGA
rnacentral:rRNA from 1 species